rnacentral:rRNA from 1 species
GGUUUAGGUAAAUCCGGACCGCUAUUAACGCUGAGAUACGAUGUCGAGCUACUACGGUAGUGAAGUCAUUGAUGCCAUGCUUCCAGGAAAAGCCUCUAAGCUUCAGAUUGUAAGGAAUCGUACCCCAAACCGACACAGGUGGUCGGGUAGAGAAUACCAAGGCGCUUGAGAGAACUCGGGUGAAGGAACUAGGCAAAAUGGUACCGUAACUUCGGGAGAAGGUACGCUCUUAUCAGUGAAGUCCCUUGCGGAUGGAGCAGACGAGAGUCGCAGAUACCAGGUGGCUGCAACUGUUUAUUAAAAACACAGCACUGUGCAAAAUCGUAAGAUGACGUAUACGGUGUGACGCCUGCCCGGUGCCGGAAGGUUAAUUGAUGGGGUUAGACUUCGGUCGAAGCUCUUGAUCGAAGCCCCGGUAAACGGCGGCCGUAACUAUAACGGUCCUAAGGUAGCGAAAUUCCUUGUCGGGUAAGUUCCGACCUGCACGAAUGGCGUAAUGAUGGCCACGCUGUCUCCACCCGAGACUCAGUGAAAUUGAAAUCGCUGUGAAGAUGCAGUGUACCCGCGGCUAGACGGAAAGACCCCGUGAACCUUUACUACAGCUUGGCACUGAACAUUGAACCUACAUGUGUAGGAUAGGUGGGAGACUUUGAAACCGCGUCGCUAGAUGUGGUGGAGUCGUCCUUGAAAUACCACCCUUGUAGUUUUGAUGUUCUAACGUUGGUCCCUGAAUCGGGAUUACGGACAGUGCCUGGUGGGUAGUUUGACUGGGGCGGUCUCCUCCCAAAGAGUAACGGAGGAGCACGAAGGUGGGCUAAACACGGUUGGACAUCGUGUGGUUAGUGCAAUGGCAUAAGCCCGCUUGACUGCGAGAAUGACAAUUCGAGCAGGUGCGAAAGCAGGUCAUAGUGAUCCGGUGGUUCUGAAUGGAAGGGCCAUCGCUCAACGGAUAAAAGGUACUCCGGGGAUAACAGGCUGAUACCGCCCAAGAGUUCAUAUCGACGGCGGUGUUUGGCACCUCGAUGUCGGCUCAUCACAUCCUGGGGCUGAAGUCGGUCCCAAGGGUAUGGCUGUUCGCCAUUUAAAGUGGUACGCGAGCUGGGUUUAGAACGUCGUGAGACAGUUCGGUCCCUAUCUGCCGUGGGCGUUGGAAAAUUGAAAGGGGCUGCUCCUAGUACGAGAGGACCGGAGUGGACGAACCUCUGGUGUUCGGGUUGUCAUGCCAAUGGCAUUGCCCGGUAGCUAAGUUCGGAAUCGAUAACCGCUGAAAGCAUCUAAGCGGGAAGCGAGCCUUGAGAUGAGUUUUCCCUGGCGCUAUAAGCGUCCUAAAGGGUUGUCGUAGACUACGACGUUGAUAGGCAGGGUGUGUAAGUGCUGCGAGGCAUUGAGCUAACCUGUACUAAUUGCCCGUGAGGCUUAACC